ACGCUGGCGGCGUGCUUAACACAUGCAAGUCGAACGGAAAGGCCUAAGCUUGCUUGGGUACUCGAGUGGCGAACGGGUGAGUAACACGUGAGUGAUCUGCCCUCAACUUCGGGAUAAGCCUGGGAAACUGGGUCUAAUACUGGAUAGGACCAUCCUUUAGUGUGUGAUGGUGGAAAGUUUUUUCGGUUGGGGAUGAGCUCGCGGCCUAUCAGCUUGUUGGUGGGGUAAUGGCCUACCAAGGCGUCGACGGGUAGCCGGCCUGAGAGGGUGUACGGCCACAUUAGGACUGAGACACGGCCCAGACUCCUACGGGAGGCAGCAGUGGGGAAUAUUGCACAAUGGGCGGAAGCCUGAUGCAGCGACGCCGCGUGAGGGAUGACGGCCUUCGGGUUGUAAACCUCUUUCGACAGGGACGAAGCUUUUGUGACGGUACCUGUAUAAGAAGCACCGGCUAACUACGUGCCAGCAGCCGCGGUAAUACGUAGGGUGCGAGCGUUGUCCGGAAUUACUGGGCGUAAAGAGCUCGUAGGUGGUUUGUCGCGUCGUCUGUGAAAUUCCGGGGCCUAACUCCGGGCGUGCAGGCGAUACGGGCAUAACUUGAGUGCUGUAGGGGAGACUGGAAUUCCUGGUGUAGCGGUGAAAUGCGCAGAUAUCAGGAGGAACACCGAUGGCGAAGGCAGGUCUCUGGGCAGUAACUGACGCUGAGGAGCGAAAGCAUGGGGAGCGAACAGGAUUAGAUACCCUGGUAGUCCAUGCCGUAAACGGUGGGCGCUAGGUGUAGGGGACUUCCACGUCUUCUGUGCCGUAGCUAACGCAUUAAGCGCCCGGCCUGGGGAGUACGGCCGCAAGGCUAAAACUCAAAGGAAUUGACGGGGGCCCGCACAAGCGGCGGAGCAUGUGGAUUAAUUCGAUGCAACGCGAA
rnacentral:rRNA from 1 species